UCCUUGAAGGACUAGUGGUUAGGCCUCAGCACUCUCACCGGCGCAGCCUGCGUUUGAUUCCCGGCCAGGGAA